rnacentral:tRNA from 1 species
GCCUGGGUGGCUCAGUGGUUGAGCAUCUGCCUUCUGCUCAGGGUGGGAUCCCGGGGUCCUGGGAUCGAGUCCCACAUCAGGCU